CCUACGGGUGGCAGCAGUGAGGAAUAUUGGUCAAUGGGCGGGAGCCUGAACCAGCCAAGUCGCGUGAAGGAAGAAGGUACUGAGUAUUGUAAACUUCUUUUGUCGGGGAACAAAGGCGGAGACGCGUGUACGGAUGAGUGUACCCGAAGAAAAAGCAUCGGCUAACUCCGUGCCAGCAGCCGCGGUAAUACGGAGGAUGCGAGCGUUAUCCGGAUUGAUUGGGGUUAAAGGGUGCGCAGGCGGGAGAUCAAGUCAGCGGUAAAAGGUCGGCGCUCAACCCCGGCCGGCCGUUGAAACUGGUUUUCUAGAUUUGGAGCGACUUAUGCGGAAUUCGUGGUGUAGCGGU
rnacentral:rRNA from 1 species